rnacentral:rRNA from 1 species
GAUUAACGCUAGCGGCAGGCAUAAUACAUGCAAGUUGAACGGCAGCACAGGUAGCAAUACUGGGUGGCGAGUGGCGCACGGGUGCGUAACACGUAUGCAACCUACCCUAUACAGGCGAAUAACCUUUAGAAAUGAGGGCUAAUACGCCGUAGUAUUACAGAUGGGCAUCUAUUUGUAAUUAAAGAUUUAUCGGUAUAGGAUGGGCAUGCGUCCCAUUAGUUAGUUGGUAAGGUAACGGCUUACCAAGACGAUGAUGGGUAGGGGAUCUGAGAGGACUUACCCCCACACUGGUACUGAGACACGGACCAGACUCCUACGGGAGGCAGCAGUAAGGAAUAAUAGGCAAUGGCCGCGAGGCUGACCCAGCCAGGCCGCGUGAAGGAAGACGGCCUUAUGGGUUGUAAACUGCUUUUAUACGGGAAUAAUAGAGUGUACGCGUACAUUUAUGCAAGUAUCGUAUGAAUAAGCAUCGGCUAACUCCGU